ACAUGCAGUCGAGGGGCAGCAUGGUCUUAGCUUGCUAAGGCCGAUGGCGACCGGCGCACGGGUGAGUAACACGUAUCCAACCUGCCGUCUACUCUUGGACAGCCUUCUGAAAGGAAGAUUAAUACAAGAUGGCAUCAUGAGUCCGCAUGUUCACAUGAUUAAAGGUAUUCCGGUAGACGAUGGGGAUGCGUUCCAUUAGAUAGUAGGCGGGGUAACGGCCCACCUAGUCUUCGAUGGAUAGGGGUUCUGAGAGGAAGGUCCCCCACAUUGGAACUGAGACACGGUCCAAACUCCUACGGGAGGCAGCAGUGAGGAAUAUUGGUCAAUGGGCGAGAGCCUGAACCAGCCAAGUAGCGUGAAGGAUGACUGCCCUAUGGGUUGUAAACUUCUUUUAUAAAGGAAUAAAGUCGGGUAUGGAUACCCGUUUGCAUGUACUUUAUGAAUAAGGAUCGGCUAACUCCGUGCCAGCAGCCGCGGUAAUACGGAGGAUCCGAGCGUUAUCCGGAUUUAUUGGGUUUAAAGGGAGCGUAGAUGGAUGUUUAAGUCAGUUGUGAAAGUUUGCGGCUCAACCGUAAAAUUGCAGUUGAUACUGGAUAUCUUGAGUGCAGUUGAGGCAGGCGGAAUUCGUGGUGUAGCGGUGAAAUGCUUAGAUAUCACGAAGAACUCCGAUUGCGAAGGCAGCCUGCUAAGCUGCAACUGACAUUGAGGCUCGAAAGUGUGGGUAUCAAACAGGAUUAGAUACCCUGGUAGUCCACACGGUAAACGAUGAAUACUCGCUGUUUGCGAUAUACUGCAAGCGGCCAAGCGAAAGCGUUAAGUAUUCCACCUGGGGAGUACGCCGGCACGGUGAAACUCAGAGGAAUUGACGGGGGCCCGCACAAGCGGAGGAACAUGUGGUUUAAUUC
rnacentral:rRNA from 1 species